UAGAGAAGAUUUUUCAAGAGAGUUUAGUCUUUUGCUAGGACUGCUUCAUUGGAGAAAAAUGAAGUCGUGCGCCGUUCUUGUGCUUUUGGUGCUCUUUGCCACGGUUGCCAUAGAAGACACAGCCGGGCAAAUUGCGAAGCUUGCUACGUGCGAAUGCUGUGGUCAGACUUGUAGUAGCGACCAUGGGAGUUGCUACUGCGUCGGAACGUACCCCAACUGCCGCUGUGGUGCAGACGAUCACCCAAAAUAAAAGAAUAGCCUCCCGUCGAGAGGAAACAUGACCAGUUGGACAUAUUAAAGAAAACAGGAAACUAGUCACUCAGCUAAAUGUAAAGCUGCAAUAUUUGGACUUUUUGUGAAUUUUGAGUUCAACAAUAAGUGGUCAUAAUAAAGAUUGUAGUAAAUACGCUGUAUUUACUGCAUCGUCAAAGCUUUAAA
rnacentral:lncRNA from 1 species